GUCCCCGUGGCGCAAGCGGGCAGCGCGUUCGGCUGUUAACCGAGAGGCUGGUGGUUCGAACCCACCCGGGGACG